AACGAACGCUGGCGGCAUGCCUAACACAUGCAAGUCGAACGAGACCUUCGGGUCUAGUGGCGCACGGGUGCGUAACGCGUGGGAACCUGCCCUUAGGUUCGGAAUAACUCCCCGAAAGGGGUGCUAAUACCGGAUAAUGUCUUCGGACCAAAGAUUUAUCGCCUUUGGAUGGGCCCGCGUUGGAUUAGCUAGUUGGUAGGGUAAAAGCCUACCAAGGCGACGAUCCAUAGCUGGUCUGAGAGGAUGAUCAGCCACACUGGGACUGAGACACGGCCCAGACUCCUACGGGAGGCAGCAGUGGGGAAUAUUGGACAAUGGGCGAAAGCCUGAUCCAGCAAUGCCGCGUGAGAGAUGAAGGCCUUAGGGUUGUAAAGCUCUUUUACCCGGGAUGAUAAUGACAGAACCGGGAGAAUAAGCUCCGGCUAACUCCGUG
rnacentral:rRNA from 1 species